CCUACGGGAGGCAGCAGUGAGGAAUAUUGGUCAAUGGACGCAAGUCUGAACCAGCCAUGCCGCGUGCAGGAAGACGGCUCUAUGAGUUGUAAACUGCUUUUGUACGAGGGUAAACGCAGAUACGCGUAUCUGUCUGAAAGUAUCGUACGAAUAAGGAUCGGCUAACUCCGUGCCAGCCGCCGAGGUAAUACGGAGGAUUCAAGCGUUAUCCGGAUUUAUUGGGUUUAAAGGGUGCGUAGGCGGUCGGAUAAGUUAGAGGUGAAAUCCCGAGGCUCAACUUCGGAAUUGCCUCGGAUACUGUUCGGCUAGAGAGUAGUAGCGGUAGGCGGAAUUUAUGGUGUAGCGGUGAAAUGCUUAGAGAUCAGACAGAACACCGAUUGCGAAGGCAGCUUACCAAGCUACUUCUGACGUUGAGGCACGAAAGCGUGGGGAGCAAACAGGAUUAGAUACCCCUGUAGUC
rnacentral:rRNA from 1 species